rnacentral:rRNA from 1 species
CCUCAAUCAGGUAGAUAC